rnacentral:sRNA from 1 species
AAGAGAGACCCCUCCUCACAC